GACGAACGCUGGCGGCGUGCCUAAUACAUGCAAGUUGAGCGAUGAAGCUUGGUGCUUGCACCAAUUUGAAGAGCAGCGAACGGGUGAGUAACGCGUGGGGAAUCUGCCUUUGAGCGGGGGACAACAUUUGGAAACGAAUGCUAAUACCGCAUAACAACUUUAAACAUAAGUUUUAAGUUUGAAAGAUGCAAUUGCAUCACUCAAAGAUGAUCCCGCGUUGUAUUAGCUAGUUGGUGAGGUAAAGGCUCACCAAGGCGAUGAUACAUAGCCGACCUGAGAGGGUGAUCGGCCACAUUGGGACUGAGACACGGCCCAAACUCCUACGGGAGGCAGCAGUAGGGAAUCUUCGGCAAUGGACGAAAGGCUGACCGAGCAACGCCGCGUGAGUGAAGAAGGUUUUCGGAUCGUAAAACUCUGUUGGUAGAGAAGAACGUUGGUGAGAGUGGAAAGCUCAUCAAGUGACGGUAACUACCCAGAAAGGGACGGCUAACUACGUG
rnacentral:rRNA from 1 species